GCGUGUGUGAAGAAGGCCUGCGGGUUGUAAAGCACUUUCAAUUGUGAAGAAAAGCUGAAGGUUAAUAACCUUUGGUCUUGACGUUAACUUUAGAAGAAGCACCGGCUAACUCCGUGCCAGCAGCCGCGGUAAUACGGAGGGUGCGAGCGUUAAUCGGAAUUACUGGGCGUAAAGCGUGCGUAGGCGGUUUAGUAAGUCAGAUGUGAAAGCCCUGGGCUCAACCUGGGAACUGCAUUUGAUACUGCUGAACUAGAGUAUGGUAGAGGGAAGUGGAAUUCCGGGUGUAGCGGUGAAAUGCGU
rnacentral:rRNA from 1 species